GUGUCAGCAGCCGCGGUAAUACGUAGGGAGCGAGCGUUGUCCGGAUUUACUGGGUGUAAAGGGUGCGUAGGCGGAUAUUUAAGUGAGAUGUGAAAUCCCCGGGCUUAACUUGGGGGCUGCAUUUCAAACUGGAUGUCUAGAGUGCAGGAGAGGAAAGCAGAAUUCCUAGUGUAGCGGUGAAAUGCGUCGAGAUUCGGAAGAAUACCAGUGGCGAAGGCGGCUUUCUGG
rnacentral:rRNA from 1 species